UUGCAUGCAUCGGUUGCUAUCAACUCUGGAAGCUAGACCCCUCAACAUUUCUAGACGUUGUAUUGGGUUACGCAUUCUACAGGCUAAGCGUCUUAGGGUCUCACGUCCAGAGACAGGGGUUCUCAAAUGACCUGUUCGGGCGGCUCAAGUUCGUUAUUGUCAUAAUCAUGGCCGUGAAAGAUUUCAGGAAAAAUCUUGCUCUCAUUGAUGCUAUCAGGACACCCGUUUAUGCCUUCUAUGUCAUAUCAUUCCUUCAAGACAUAAGUGGUCAGAAGAAGUAUAGCAAAUAUUAUUUGGCUGUGGUUAUAGAACUACUAAAAACUGAGGAGGGCAGAGGCAAGCUAGUGAGUUGUUUCUAAAUGUUGAUCCUGCUAGUGGAGUGGCCGUCUUUUCUCCAAGGUCAUCGAUGAUAAGUGCUCCAUAUUCCAUAUGAUUAUCAGAUCGAACAAUGUACUUGUUAUGGAGUUAUUUCUGAAUGUUUGCGACAUGUAUAUAGUGAAGUGAUCUCAGCCUUCUCUCAAGUAUGCUACAUA